GCCAGGUGCGGAGGUGCACACCUGUAAUCCCAGCGGCUCAGGAGGCUGAGGCAGGAGGAUUGUGAAUUCAAAGCCAGUCUCAG
rnacentral:sRNA from 1 species